rnacentral:misc_RNA from 1 species
ACGCGUCGGUCGUGCUGGGUGGUAUGGUUCCCCAGGGGCCGGUUCUUGUGCUGCCUACCCCUUCAGGGGAAGCGGGCCACUUGAUGUAAGCCUCCAUCCGGCGCCCUCCAACGGGCGCAGGAGGACAACAGGGCACCCCCCGCGUUCCACCGAGCCUCCGUCGGUCGCUUGGCGCGCGGGGACGUGCGAUGCUCUCGGACGCAGCGAACGCCGUGGGCGAGGACUCACGUCCCAGUCCCGAUAGAAGCUCCCAUAUAAUGCUGACGGCCGCUCCCGUCCCCCGACCGCCCCGGCGGCGCGGGGGCGAGAGGCGUGUCGUCGCGCCAGAAUGCUACCU